rnacentral:rRNA from 1 species
UUGUGAGGUUAAGCGACUAAGCGUACACGGUGGAUGCCCUGGCAGUCAGAGGCGAUGAAGGACGUGCUAAUCUGCGAUAAGCGUCGGUGAGGUGAUAUGAACCGUUAUAACCGGCGAUUUCCGAAUGGGGAAACCCAGUGUGUUUCGACACACUAUCAUUAACUGAAUCCAUAGGUUAAUGAGGCGAACCGGGGGAACUGAAACAUCUAAGUACCCCGAGGAAAAGAAAUCAACCGAGAUUCCCCCAGUAGCGGCGAGCGAACGGGGAGGAGCCCAGAGCCUGAAUCAGUGUGUGUGUUAGUGGAAGCGUCUGGAAAGGCGCGCGAUACAGGGUGACAGCCCCGUACACAAAAAUGCACAUAUUGUGAGCUCGAUGAGUAGGGCGGGACACGUGGUAUCCUGUCUGAAUAUGGGGGGACCAUCCUCCAAGGCUAAAUACUCCUGACUGACCGAUAGUGAACCAGUACCGUGAGGGAAAGGCGAAAAGAACCCCGGCGAGGGGAGUGAAAAAGAACCUGAAACCGUGUACGUACA